rnacentral:rRNA from 1 species
AAACCAACAGGGAUUGCCCUAGUAACGGCGAGUGAAGCGGCAACAGCUCAAAUUUGAAAUCUGGCUUCGGCCCGAGUUGUAAUUUGUAGAGGAAGAUUCUGGCGAGGCACCUGCUGAGUCCCCUGGAACGGGGCGCCAUAGAGGGUGAGAGCCCCGUAUAGUUGGAUGCCGAGCCGAUGUGAAUCUCCUUCGACGAGUCGAGUAGUUUGGGAAUGCUGCUCAAAAUGGGAGGUAAAUUUCUUCUAAAGCUAAAUACCGGCCAGAGACCGAUAGCGCACAAGUAGAGUGAUCGAAAGAUGAAAAGCACUUUGAAAAGAGGGUUAAACAGCACGUGAAAUUGUUGAAAGGGAAGCGCUUGUGACCAGACUUGCGCCCGGUUGAUCAUCCGGUGUUCUCACCGGUGCACUCUGCCGGGCUCAGGCCAGCAUCGGUUCUCUUGGGGGAAUAAAGGUCCAGGGAACGUGGCUCUUCCGGGAGUGUUAUAGCCCUGGGCGCAACGCCCUCGAGGGGACCGAGGUUCGCGCAUCUGCAAGGAUGCUGGCGUAAUGGUCAUCAGCGAC